rnacentral:lncRNA from 1 species
GAGAACAUAAAUAUACAAAUAAGAUACAACUUGAAUACAAAAGACAGCACCCUCUCAGAGACUUAACCCAAAAUUUCGUUUUAAUCAAUAGUUUAAUUACAAUCUAACAAAAAAAAUCCAUCAAUGUAAAAUUAUUUUAGCAUACAAUAUAUGAUAUCAUCUAAAAUACAUACACUUCAAAAGAGAAUAAAAACGAUUUUUAGAGAUAUUGCGUCUACACAUUUUAUCAAAUGCAAAUAAAAAGCGUAAAGCUUAUGAAAUAAUUCUACCAUUUUGAGCUUCGUGAUAAAAAGCGUAAAGCUUAUGAAUUUUAGUAAAUCCACCAUUUUGAGCUUCUUAUGAAUUUUAGUAAAUCCACACUUUUUACCGAGAAGAAGAAUUAAAUCUCUAUAUUCUCUACCUUCUUCGCCAAAUCAAUAACGGAAACUCACCUGUCACUGCAAACAAAAUAAGAAGGCUGAACACGAUACAGCGUGAUAAAAUAAGUUUCAGUGUUUUUAGGAAUUGUGAGGAUGAAAGUUCAGGGGAUGAAGACUGACCUUUUAUAGGUGGAUAUACACCGUCUCGAAGAGAAAUACGGAGAAUUUAAUGAUAAAAUUGUGCUUGUUGUGGGUUGAAGGAGUAAAGAUAGUUCUUAAUGGAGAUGAAUUGAUGAAUCCGGUAACGUUUGGACGAGAAGAAUAUCAG